UAAUACGUAGGGGGCGAGCGUUGUCCGGAAUUAUUGGGCGUAAAGCGCGUGCAGGCGGUUUUUUAAGUCUGUGGUGAAAGACCGGGGCUCAACCCCGGAGUGUCCAUGGAGACUGGAAGACUGGAGUGUCGGAGAGGAGUGCGGAAUCCCUGGUGUAGCGGUGGAAUGCGUAGAGAUCAGGGGGAACACCGAUGGCGAAGGCAGCACUCUGGCCGAAUACUGACGCUGAGACGCGAAAGCGUGGGGAGCGAACGGGAUUAGAUACCCCGGUAGUCCACGCCGUAAACGAUGACGACUAGGUGUGGGGGGAGUUAUCCCUCCGUGCCGCAGCUAACGCAUGAAGUCGUCCGCCUGGGGAGUACGGCCGCAAGGUUG
rnacentral:rRNA from 1 species